rnacentral:rRNA from 1 species
UACGUAGGGGGCAAGCGUUUGUCCGGAUUUAUUGGGCGUAAAGAGCGUGUAGGCGGCCAGACAAGUCUGCUGUGAAAACUCGAGGCUCAACCUCGAGCUGUCGGUGGAAACUGUCUGGCUAGAGUCCGGAAGAGGAGAGUGGAAUUCCGUGGUGUAGCGGUGAAAUGCGCAGAUAUCAGGAAGAACACCUAUGGCGAAGGCAGCUCUCUGGG